AGUAGUUUGAUCAGUGGCUCAGGACACGCUGGCGGCGUGCUUAACACAUGCAAGUCGAACGGUGACGAGGAGCUUGCUCCUCUGAUCAGUGGCGAACGGGUGAGUAACACGUGAGCAACCUGCCCCAGACUCUGGGAUAACAGUUGGAAACAGCUGCUAAUACCGGAUACGAGACGGAGAGGCAUCUCUACCGUCUGGAAAGUUUUUCGGUCUGGGAUGGACUCGCGGCCUAUCAGCUAGUUGGUGAGGUAAAUGGGCUCACCAAGGGCGACGACGGGUAGCCGGCCUGAGAGGGCGACCGGCCACACUGGGACUGAGACACGGCCCAGACUCCUACGGGAGGCAGCAGUGGGGAAUAUUGCACAAUGGGCGAAAGCCUGAUGCAGCGACGCCGCGUGAGGGAUGAAGGCCUUCGGGUUGUAAACCUCUUUCAGCAGGGAAGAAGCGAAAGUGACGGUACCUGCAGAAGAAGCACCGGCUAACUACGUG
rnacentral:rRNA from 1 species